rnacentral:rRNA from 1 species
UACGUAGGGUGCGAGCGUUGUCCGGAAUUAUUGGGCGUAAAGAGCUUGUAGGCGGUCUGUCGCGUCUGCUGUGAAAAUCCGGGGCUCAACCCCGGACUUGCAGUGGGUACGGGCAGACUAGAGUGGCGGAAGGGCAACUGGAAUUCUUGGUGUAGCGGUGAAAUGCGUAGAUAAUCGAAGAGGAACACCUGCGGCGAAGGCGGGUUGCUGGGCCGACACUGACGCUGAGGCGCGAAAGCCAGGGAGCGAACGGG